AGCCAACGUUAUGGAUGUUUCUGGAGAAGUUGGAUCUCAGUUCAGUCAGGCAACAAUAAGUUCACGUAUCGGUCAUCCAGGUCGUUCACAGCGUUCAAAUUUAGGACCAUGUAGCUCUACAAGCAGUCGCUCAAAGUUUGAACUUCCUGCAUAAAAAAUAACUCUUUCCAAAGUUUCAGGUUAUUAUAGGCCGGAAGUGAACUCCAGUUAGGCCGUUCUCUGCUUUUGCAAUAGAAAAUGAUCCUAAGCGCAGAUUACAGACUUGAGCAUGCACAGAUAGACAAGAACCCGCAGCCGCUACCCUUCGGGUGCGCACUAGAGCUGUUGGACUUGCUAUGUGAUAAUCUUGACUUGAAAAAACUUUCUAUUGCUAGCGCACAGAUUCUGGCAAGAUCAUUAGGCAGUUCCAAGAUUACCAUGUUAGUGGCCUAUAGCUUCUCAAAAUGGCGAACUGAUCGAUGUUCUGCAUAUGCUCCACUCCAUUGUAUCAACUUAGGUGACCAACUCACCACUAUCUCCACUUGGCUACAAUUUUAUACAAUAUGCCAAGAACUAGGAUGCACAGGUGCAAGUGAGGGUCACGUGCACUCCAUGCUGCAGUCGCAACCACGGUAUCAAAUAACUCAACGCAGCACAGUACAUCUUCUCCUCUCUCCGGGCUUUCAAUGCACAGAAGAGUGUGAUGAAUUUGCUACAGCCAAGUUCUACUUUAGGUUCAGGACAAAACUCUAUGCAUGCAUUCAGUACAACAAGUUGCUAUCGGACCUCUAAAACAAAAUUUAAUGAGGGUUACCCAAUAGGCAAAUGUGAACCUUAUUUCACACAAAGUGGAGUGAAUUGUCUAAAGGCCCUUCACGUUUAACCAUCAAGCAUAAUUGCACGUGUGCGUGUAACAUAGUCAAGAUUGUUCAAGUAUUGUGUAAGUAGGGACUAAACUACU